GGCAUAGCUCAGUGGGUAGAGCAUCUGCUUUGCAUGCAGAGGAUCCCAGGUUCAAUCCCGGGCAUCUCCA